rnacentral:rRNA from 1 species
CACUCCUGCGGGAGGCAGCAGUGGGGAAUAUUGGACCAUGGGCGCAAGCCUGAUCCAGCCAUGCCGCGUGAGUGAUGAAGGCCCUAGGGUUGUAAAGCUCUUUCACCGGUGAAGAUAAUGACGGUAACCGGAGAAGAAGCCCCGGCUAACUUCGUGCCAGCAGCCGCGGUAAUACGAAGGGGGCUAGCGUUGUUCGGAUUUACUGGGCGUAAAGCGCACGUAGGCGGACUAUUAAGUCAGGGGUGAAAUCCCGGGGCUCAACCCCGGAACUGCCUUUGAUACUGGUAGUCUUGAGUUCGAGAGAGGUGAGUGGAAUUCCGAGUGUAGAGGUGAAAUUCGUAGAUAUUCGGAGGAACACCAGUGGCGAAGGCGGCUCACUGGCUCGAUACUGACGCUGAGGUGCGAAAGCGUGGGGAGCAAACAGGAUUAGAUACCCGUGUAGUCC